rnacentral:misc_RNA from 1 species
AACGCACGAGACCUGCGGACCUGCGGAGGGAUCAGUGCGAGAGAUGGUUUGGUUUGUUUGGUGGUGGGAUGGGGGAUGGUUUGGUUGGAUUCUUGGUUGAAAGAUCAAGAUUGAAAGAUCAUGAAAGAUCAAACUCUUGAACCCACCCUCAUUGCCAAACACCACAUUUGCGCUUGGUAUUGUUUGUCAGAUUUAAAUGAGAAAAAGAAUAGAAAACUUUCAACAAUGGAUCUCUAGAUC